GUCAGUUGUAGCCAUAGGCAACGAGUGUGUUCAGCCGAAUUCGGAGGAGUUCGUCUUUCACCCAGGCUUGAGUCUGGUGCCAUUUGAGCUGGAAACACUGACGAUGAAGCAGACACAGUUCUUCCCACAGGGCACUGACCACAAAAGAGACUCAGUAGAGAAGAUGAUUACAGUCACGUUGAUCCCAGUGACCCAGGAAAACUCUGAACUUCUAGCCCACUUACAGGACAAUCGGAACGUCCUUACAUUCGAUUUUCAAAGCCCCGACGGCCAGUAAGACUGAAAGGAAGAGGAGGGACCAGGUGGGGAGG